rnacentral:rRNA from 1 species
UACGUAGGGUGCGAGCGUUGUCCGGAAUUAUUGGGCGUAAAGGGCUCGUAGGCGGUUUGUCGCGUCGGGAGUGAAAACCAGGUGCUUAACACCUGGCUUGCUUUCGAUACGGGCAGACUAGAGGUAUUCAGGGGAGAACGGAAUUCCUGGUGUAGCGGUGAAAUGCGCAGAUAUCAGGAGGAACACCGGUGGCGAAGGCGGUGGUCUGGGCCGGCACUGACGCUGAGGAGCGAAAGCGUGGGGAGCGAACAGG